AGAAUAUUUUUAAGAGACUUCUAAUCUCUAACAAGCCUUUAGCUAUAUUCUU
rnacentral:tRNA from 1 species